rnacentral:antisense_RNA from 1 species
AAUGGGGACAGGCCUGUCACAAGGAUCACUAGAGUCUUGCUGGCAAAAGCAUCUUACUGCAUUCAUGCUGCAGCACAGGACCCAGAUGCAGAACAGGUUGGGGACACAGCCCUGCCUUCUAAUAGUGGACACCAUCUGAGAGCUGAGGCAUAGAUUCAAAGCCUAACUCCUAAUAGCGAUUGGUAGUAAUAUCAUCAGCAGUUCAUAUACAUGGAGUGACAACGGUGUGCCAGGCAAUUCAAAGGGUCUCUUGGUCCUCACAGCAUUUUUGAAGUAGCUAACAUCACUAUCGCCCUUUUACAGUUAAAAACAACAACAACAACAACAACAAAAACACAAAACCCUGAGGCUCAGAAGAUAAAUAUUUGCUGAAGAUCACUGUGCUUAUUAGAUGGGUGUUACUGAUUCUUACCUCAGAGAAGAGAAUGUCAUGGAGACAAAAUGAUCUGCUUAGAGUUCUGCACCCCCCAGCAUGGAGAGCAGAGCGCAAAGAUUUCUUCCGGACUCUCACAUUCCCCUUGGAAUCCAAGAACUGGUCUACUGUCACAACACUUUAGUACCCUCUUCUCCCAAGGAGGCAGCAGAAACUGGGGUAAUCACAACGGUCAACAGCAGCAAAGGCA